AUAAAACAGCGGGACUUACGCCAGAGGUCAAGCUGGCUCGCCCGCCGCGUUCGUUCUGCUGACUGUCCUCCCCUCGCUCUUUUGCUACACGCAAGACCCCCUUUUGCUGCUGAGUCUGGGGGUCCUCGCUUUGCCGCAGCAGCAUCUGGAAGCGCAGUAGGCGGGGCGUCCGACUGCCCAAGAAGGAUCCCAUCGGAGCCCUGCUGAACUGCUGGCAUCUGGAGGAUGCUUUGCUGCAGAAGCGUUGCGGCGGCGCAGCGAACCGACCAGGGUGAGCGAGGGGCACGUUUGGUUGCAGCCGUCGGCUCAGGCAGUGCAAACACAGCCUGCGCUGUACAGGCUUCUCGCUUUGCCAAGCCUUCUUGUUUUGUAGCUUCGAUCUGGGCAAGGGGAGGAAGAGGGAGUCUCCUUCCACCCAUCCCUCUUGCCCGCGCUAAGGAAGCGGGGUGCGUGGGCGAAGUUCUUGGCUUUUCGUCCUGCCGCAUGCAAAACUGGCCUCACUAGCAGCAGCCAUGCCCCUGCUGUCCUCCUGAUCGCCAGAUCGUAUUGAGUGAGAGAGCAGCAGUUCAAGCCAAGGAUAGGUGGCAAACAAAAGGCAGCAAAAGGCCCAGCUCUGGACAGGUAGUUCUCUGCUUCCUUUCUGUCGAUGGAGUGGCUUCUGCGUGUUUAAUAGCGAGAAGGAUUUUAAAUCUUUCACCUCUCAUCUUCCUUCAGACGCAAGGACAGGUCAAGUAGUCGCAGACGCUCUUGAAAGGACAUGGAAAAAAUGAAGAGCAUUCUGCUUGUGGUAUUCAUUGCUGUAACUGUGUUGUGUAAUUCUGGCUAUGCACUUCGUUGUUACAAUUGUGAACAGAGCCCUUACCUGUGUCGGACCAAUACUACCUGUAUUGAAGAAGAGGAUGCUUGCCUGCAAAUUAGGUUUGUGCAUUUGAGGACCUACAGCUGCUGGAAAAUGUCACAGUGCACCACAAGUCAAGUUGCUGAUCACUUUAAUGCUGACAGUUUUAGAUUCCUUUGCUGUGAAAGGGAUUUUUGCAACAGGGGUGUAAACAUCCUGCUUGGUACAGCUCCCCUUGUUCUUUCAGCGUUGACUGUGAUAUGGAUGAUGUUUCUAUAUUAAGGUUAUUUAAAAAGAAUUUACAGCGCAUUUUUUCCAUUUUUUAAUUUGAUAUGCCUGGAGCUCUUUCAAGAAGAGAGAUGGUGGAUGAUGCCCAUUUAGGCCAUUAAUGUUCCCUUGCUUGGAAGGACUUUCUUAAUCUCUUUCCUCUUCAAUACUCUAGAUGCAGGGAUAAAGAGAGUUGGGAUAGCUGGGGGUCCUUUGGGUCCGAUUGAGAGAUACUGGGCUACAGUGGGAGAGAGGAAGAGAAAGUCUUGUCACACCAACUCAUGUCACAUUAGAGAUUGCUGUUAUAUGUUAUUGCGCACCAGUGUAGUGUAAAUGGCUCUCAUGCCAGACUAAGACCUAUGCCUCUGGCAUUUGAAUCUUUACUCAGCCUUGGAAACUCAUGAGGAGCCCUUGAGGAAUUGCUGCCUCUCUGCUUAACUUACCUCACAGGGUUGCCAUGAGAUUUGAAUGUAGUGCUGUAAAUAAACAGAAAAAUAACUUCA
rnacentral:lncRNA from 1 species